GACGAACGCUGGCGGCGUGCUUAACACAUGCAAGUCGAACGGAAAGGCCCUGCUUUUGGGGGGUGCUCGAGUGGCGAACGGGUGGGUAACACGUGAGUAACCUGCCCUUGACUUUGGGAUAACUUCAGGAAACUGGGGCUAAUACCGGAUAGGAGCUCCUGCUGCAUGGUGGGGGUUGGAAAGGUGCGGCGGUUGGGGAUGGACGCGCGGGUUUUCAGCUUGUUGGGGGGGUAGUGGCUUACCAGGGCGUUGACGGGUAGCCGGUGUGAGAGGGUGACCAGCGAGCGUGGCACUGAGACACGGUGCAGACUCCUACGGGAGGCAGCGGGGGGGAAUAUUGCGGAAUGGGCGCAAGCCUGAUGCAGCCAUGCGGCGUGUAGGAGGAAGGCCUUCGGGUGGGAAAGUACUUUCAGCGGGGAGGAAGGGAGGAAAGUUAAUACCUUUGCUCAUUGACGUUACACGCAGAAGAAGCACCGGCUAACUCCGUG
rnacentral:rRNA from 1 species